ensembl:snoRNA
AGCCUCUAUGUGGGUGUUUGUCUGACGUGUGAACAGACUCUGAGACAAGCGCAAAAACAAUUCUCUUCUGUAAGCCAGAACUCACUGUUCUGUACAAGUUCUGAUACAGAUAAGAAAAAAUGUG